AAAGCAUUUGCGCUCUAUUAGUGUGACAGUGCUUGUCACCAGCUGCCUGCCGGAAGUGUCAGAGAAGAGGUCACUUUCGCUCGGCCCCUGAGCCCUGCUGUGAUGCCUUCUGCACCCCAGAACAUGGUGUCCCUGUGUCAUCGAGAGCACUUGCCCUGUUGAGAACGAGCUGCUGCUAGGAAACAGCCAGCCAUGAACGGCAACUUCCUGUUACUGCUCCACAGAAGCCAAGCCCAGCUGAGCCUCAGGCCUUUUUUUUUUUUUGGCAUGGGGAUCAAACUCGGGACCUUGCGCCUGCAAGGCCCCAGCCACCUCCUUUCUGACGUGGAGAUAAGAUGCCCUGAAAUGGAUUCAAAACAUCUCCCUAUCAUGGUCAUUGUGACUUUGGGGAAGAUCCAGGAGUCACAUGGUGACAUAUCCAGUGACUAAGGUGGAUGAGGACACAGUAUUGUGCUUUACAAACUGCCUUUCAGCUGGGUGGCACUCGGCAUCAGCAGUCACCGUAUUUUUGACCACACCUCAGGAAAGAGGACUCCAGAGCUGCUGCAGAAAGUCACAAGGAUGAUGGGAUGAGUGUGUUCACACCGAGGGGGAGGGAUUUUGAGGGGGGAUUCAUGACAGUGUGUCUCUUACUAUAAUAAAUUUUUUAAAUGUUAAGUUGAAACAUUCACUGUGUUUUGAUCACACAUUAUAUAUGUGAUCCCUGGGAGAGGCUCUCAGAAAGCGAGGAGCAGAUUCCUCCUCCAUGAGUGAUGGGAGGAAUUUUAAUUUAUCAGAA
ensembl:lncRNA